AUGGAUCUAACUGUCGUGUUAUCUGCUAUUAUUUUCACGCUUCUCGCCGUUGUGCUCGCGACGUCGCUAUUUAGCGGCGCCUCGUCCACGGCCGACUUCGCCAACGCGCGGGGUUACUUCGGGGACCGAGGGGGCGACGCGGCCGAGGGAUUAGAUCGGUCGGGGCCGAAGCAGAACGGCCAUGUGCCCGAGAAGAAGAAGAAGACAGCGGAGGACUGGAGUGAGAUCAGCGAGAGCUCCCACGAUCACUGGGAUGUCGUGAAAUCUGUGCUCUCAGAGGAGGCGCAUCCCCUAUCUCAGAAUGAAGAACUGACAGCACCAGUCGAACACUCCACAUCCAGCCCGUCCAUCCCCAGCCCUGGUUCUAGGCAUAUGAGCUUAGAAGUAGACUCGUCGUCCGAGGCCUCGUCGGGGAGGGGCCAUAGGUCAUUCAUUGGGCUCUCUGAUAAGGAGCUCCUAAAGUGUGCUUUCUCUUACCCCCAGACCGAAGGAGUCACAGAGAGCCCGGGGAUCGACGAUCAGGGGGAAUCAAACACAAACGAUUCCUUGAAGUACGUCCCUGGAAAGGCGCGAUCCCACCACUUGCAAAUGAUGAUGUCCAAAGAGGAGCUGGAGGAGGAGCAGAGGGUGCAACGGGAGCAGCUGGCCGCCAUCUUCCAGCUGCUGAAAGACAACAAGGAGACGUUUGGGGAGGUGUCGGAGGGAGACAUGGAGGAGCAGCUAAGACUCUACUCCAUCUGAGACUCCUCUCGGACUCACCUCUCUGUGUUGCGCUCCACCGUCUGACUGCACUCUUUUGCUUCCACUCACAUUGCAGUUCACAUGAAGACCAAAGGAAACAAACAGCUGGACUUUUACCAGCGCAGAACAGGAUUUUCUAGCUACCAAUUUACAACUAAGGACUAAUAAAGAUGAGGGAUUAUUAUAAUAUCUUAUUAGUUUGAUAAUAUAAUAAAAAAAUAUUAAUUUAUUAUAAAACUUUUUUUUUUAUUCUAUUUUAUCUUCAUUAAAUCUGUAACAGGUAUAAAUACCUGCAAAAUCACUUCUGCAUAACUUCCACCCUGGUAUGUAAUAAAGGACACAAUGUAAGAUUGUGAAUAUGUGUGUGAGUGAGUGGUUCCCAUUUUAUUAUGUAUCUUUGCAUCAGGAAACUGCACUGUAGCCCUGCCCAACCACCCUUGGUGACUUGGUGGCUUUUGCACCUGGCCACAAAUUCCAGGAAGGAAAGUACAGACUCGUCUGUAUUUGAGUCAACAGCAAAGACUCCACUUG